rnacentral:miRNA from 1 species
AACUUCAUCAACCAGAAGGAAUUCCUUCCAGUUGAUGAGGAAUAAUGACUUCAUCAACUGGAAGUAAUUCCUUCCAGUUGAUGAGGAAUAGUAACUUCAUCAACCCAAAUGAAUUCCUUCUGGUUGAUGAAGUU